GGACAGCUGAUGAUUCCCAAACAGGACGAAACAGCUGUCCAGUGC
rfam:Echinostoma caproni strain Egypt genome assembly, scaffold: ECPE_scaffold0002786